CAGUAGCCGCGGUAAUACGAAGGGUGCAAGCGUUAAUCGGAAUUACUGGGCGUAAAGCGUGCGUAGGCGGUGAGUUAAGUCUGCUGUGAAAUCCCCGGGCUCAACCUGGGAAUGGCAGUGGAUACUGGCUCGCUAGAGUGUGUCAGAGGAUGGUGGAAUUCCCGGCGUAGCGGUGAAAUGCGUAGAGAUCGGGAGGAACAUCAGUGGCGAAGGCGGCCAUCUGGGACAACACUGACGCUGAGGCACGAAAGCGUGGGGAGCAAACAGGAUUAGAUACCCCCGUAGUCCCUGUCUCUUAUAC
rnacentral:rRNA from 1 species